rnacentral:tRNA from 1 species
CAGGGAGACAACAAAAUGUUUAAUAUUAUUUUGUCACCUUAGGUCGAUCGGUAUCUCACGUUCUUAAUUUAUUGAGAAUUUCAUUUCCUAAGUUUUUCUAGGUCACACCCAUUAUUUUUCCUGGGCCAUUAGCUCAGGUGGUUAGAGCGCACCCCUGAUAAGGGUGAGGUCCCUGGUUCAAGUCCAGGAUGGCCCAUAUCUCUAUGUUGGGGGUAUAGCUCAGUUGGUAGAGCGCCUGCUUUGCAAGCAGGAUGUCAGCGGUUCGAGUCCGCUUACCUCCACUGAUUACCACCUCUUCCAUAAUCUGUAGAAAGGAAAUGUUUUGAGUUGUGAUCAAAUUCUGAAAGAAUCUAGCUUCCUAAUGAAAUCAUUAAGAUGCUGGACUCAUUGAAUUAAUUUCAUUGUUUUCAGAGAACCUUGACAACUGCAUAGAUUAUUUUUAAAGACAAUAAGCAUUUUUAGUAAUGCAGAUUUAUUAUUUGUGCGAAUGCAUUAAUAACAAUUCUAUUAAGCUGAUGCUUCAAUUUUGAAGUUAUU